rnacentral:rRNA from 1 species
AUGACGACGACAAAACACAACACCACCUGGCCUGGUGCAGCGCACACGUCACGUACUCCACUGAACCGGGUUUAUAUCAUCACCUCGCACCUGGCAAGUCCCAUCUCACCACGGUUCACUGCCAUAAUGGCUUCCGAGGACUCUGCCGCGCCCGUCGUCGUGGACGACUGCCGGGGCGUGCUGUUGGUGUACAGCGACGGGGCCGUGGUGCGCAGGGAUGGGCCGGGCUUCGCCACGCCGGUGCGGGACGACGGCACCGUGGAGUGGAAGGACGCCGAGUUCGACGCGCCCCGCGGGCUGGGACUCCGGCUCUACAGGCCGCGCCAGCGGAACCAGCUCCUACCGGUCUUCUUCUACUACCACGGCGGCGGCUUCUGCAUCGGCUCGCGCACCUGGCCCAACUGCCAGAACUACUGCCUCCGCCUCGCCGCCGAGCUCGGCGCCGUCGUGGUCGCCCCGGACUACCGCCUCGCCCCCGAGAACCGCCUCCCCGCGGCCAUCGACGACGGCGCCGCCGCCCUCCUCUGGCUUGCUUCGCAGGCCGGCCCCGCCGGCGACACAUGGCUGACCGAGGCCGCCGACUUUACUCGGGUGUUUAUCUCCGGUGACUCCGCGGGAGGCACCAUCGCCCACAACCUGGCCGUGCGUUUCGGCUCCGCGGCCGGGCGCUCUGAGCUGGGCAACGUCCGCGUCAGGGGCUACGUCCAACUCAUGCCCUUCUUCGGCGGCACAGAACGGACGAGGUCCGAGGCGGAGUGCCCCGACGACGCGUUCCUCAACCGCCCGCUCAACGACCGCUACUGGCGCCUCUCGCUGCCUCCCGGCGCCACGGUCGACCACCCGGCCUCCAACCCGUUCGGGCCUGACAGCCCGGCGCUGGAGGCGGUGGAGCUGGCCCCGACGCUGGUGGUGGUCGGAGGCCGCGACAUCCUCCGUGACAGGGCCGUGGACUACGCCGCGAGGCUGCGGGCGAUGGGGAAGCCGGUGGGGGUGAGGGAGUUCGAAGGGCAGCAGCACGGCUUCUUCACCAUCGACCCAUGGUCCGACGCGUCCGCGGAGCUCAUGCGCGCGCUCAAGCGCUUCAUCCACACCGACGGGCGCUUCGACUAG